rnacentral:tRNA from 1 species
AGCAGCGUAGCCUAGUGUUUAGAGCACAGGCCUGGGAGUCAGAAGGACCUGGGUCUAAUCCCAGCGCUGCCA